rnacentral:rRNA from 1 species
CCCGCUGAACUUAAGCAUAUCAAUAAGCGGAGGAAAAGAAACUAACAAGGAUUCCCCUAGUAACUGCGAGUGAAGCGGGAAAAGCUCAAAUUUAAAAUCUGAGGGUCUUUGCGGCCUUCCGAGUUGUAAUCUAGAGAAGUGCUAUCCGCGCUGGACCGUGUACAAGUCUCCUGGAACGGAGCGUCAUAGAGGGUGAGAAUCCCGUCUUUGACACGGACUACCAGGGCUUAUGUGAUGCGCUCUCAAAGAGUCGAGUUGUUUGGGAAUGCAGCUCUAAAUGGGUGGUAAAUUCCAUCUAAAGCUAAAUAUUGGCGAGAGACCGAUAGCGAACAAGUACCGUGAGGGAAAGAUGAAAAGAACUUUGGAAAGAGAGUUAAACAGUACGUGAAAUUGUUGAAAGGGAAACGCUUGAAGUCAGUCGCGUUGGCCAGGAAUCAACCUUGCUUUUGCUUGGCGUACUUUCUGGUUAAUGGGUCAGCAUCAAUUUUGACCGGUGGAAAAAGGCCAGAGGAAUGUGGCAUCUUCGGAUGUGUUAUAGCUUCUGGUUGUAUACAUCGGUUGGGAUUGAGGAACUCAGCACGCCGCAAGGUCGGGGUUCGCCCACGUUCGUGCUUAGGAUGCUGGCAUAAUGGCUUUAAUCGACCCGUCUUGAAACACGG